rnacentral:rRNA from 1 species
UACGUAGGGUGCAAGCGUUAAUCGGAAUUACUGGGCGUAAAGCGUGCGCAGGCGGUUUUGUAAGUCUGACGUGAAAUCCCCGGGCUCAACCUGGGAAUUGCGUUGGAGACUGCAAGGCUAGAAUCUGGCAGAGGGGGGUAGAAUUCCACGUGUAGCAGUGAAAUGCGUAGAGAUGUGGAGGAACACCGAUGGCGAAGGCAGCCCCCUGGGUCAAGAUUGACGCUCAGGCACGAAAGCGUGGGGAGCAAACAGG